UACGUAGGUGGCAAGCGUUGUCCGGAUUUAUUGGGCUUAAAGGGUGCGUAGGCGGUCCUUUAAGUCAGUGCUGAAAUACUCCAGCUUAACUGGAGGGGUGGCAUUGAUACUGGGGGACUUGAAUGAAGUCGAGGUAGGCGGAAUUGACGGUGUAGCGGUGAAAUGCUUAGAUAUCGUCAAGAACACCGAUAGUGAAGACAGCUUACUAGGCUUAGAUUGACGCUGAGGCACGAAAGUGUGGGGAUCAAACAGG
rnacentral:rRNA from 1 species